AAAGCUUUAUCAGACUAUAAUAUAUCCGAUUAAUACUUCAAUGUUAUGUUAGUUUAAACGUAAAAGGUUUACCAAUGAUUUAUUUUAAAUACACGGAAUAAAAUGGAAAAUCCAUAAUCAUUAAAUUGACGCGCAGUCGUAGGACGUGAUGGGAGUAAUGAGAUCCGUUUGUCAAUGUUCGGGCUACAGGUUAUGGACGCGGUGGACUAGUUUUGUGACGAUAAAAACAUUUGGUGUCAGAUAAGGAUGGAUGUAUUCGAACGGUGUGGCCUGAGGAAAAACACCGCUCCGAUGAAGCUGGCAGCACAAAAAAUAUAUACAUACGGGAAUUUUAAUAUGUGUCUAAAGAAACCAGUGUUACGCUUUCUUAUGUCGAUAUUUAUCAGAACUGAUGAUGUAUUGUGGACUGUGAAUGAUUAUCGUUUAAUAUAAACCGGUUAUGAUAUUGUUUUUUUAGGAAGUAAAGAUGAAAUUAAUUAAAAAUUUGUAAAUACUUGUGAACGAGUCUUGUAUUAUUGAUACGAAACGAGCUCAAAGUUGUUUUACUCAGUUUCUUAACUUUCCUGUAUACCGUUAUGUGGACUUUAAUUUUAAAUUUAAAUCAUGUAUUUGAAAUUACAACGAAUUUAUAUGACGUUUCGAAAGAAUAAAUAGAAAUCGCAUGCCAAUACUAACAAGACAAAGUGUUUAUUUGAAAAUAAAAUUUGACAAAUGUAUGUAUGCAUACAUAUAUUAAUAAUAUUUUACUAUAAGACUAAUAUUGUCAGAAAAAAAACAUAAACCGUAAAGUAGAUUAGUUAAAAAUAUAUAAUAAAUGUAUCGUUUCAUUCUAAAAUAAAUUUGAACAUCUUAAAUGCAGUCGAAAGAAAAUAUUACAUAUAAUAAAAUUUAUAACCUUAUAAUAAAAACAUUAAUAUAAAAUGACAUAGCUUGAAUGCAUAUAUCAAAUACUUAUAUGUUUUUUUUUGUUACGUUUAAACGACCUUAAACUUGAAUCUAAUUCAUGUGAUCAAAACAAAAACCAGUCUGGAGCAAGUGAAAGGCGUAGGGUCAUUGGAUAAGCCUAAUAUAUUUGACAAGGAAAUAAUAACACUAUAAAAAACUAGUAGUAUCACAUGCUUUUAUAGAAAUUCUUGAAUUCUCGAUUGUCAAACAUCAAACAUUAAGAGU